UGGGGAAUUUUGGACAAUGGGCGAAAGCCUGAUCCAGCAAUGCCGCGUGUGUGAAGAAGGCCUUCGGGUUGUAAAGCACUUUUGUCCGGAAAGAAAUCCUUGGCUCUAAUACAGUCGGGGGAUGACGGUACCGGAAGAAUAAGCACCGGCUAACUACGUGCCAGCAGCCGCGGUAAUACGUAGGGUGCAAGCGUUAAUCGGAAUUACUGGGCGUAAAGCGUGCGCAGGCGGUUUGCUAAGACCGAUGUGAAAUCCCCGGGCUCAACCUGGGAACUGCAUUGGUGACUGGCAGGCUAGAGUAUGGCAGAGGGGGGUAGAAUUCCACGUGUAGCAGUGAAAUGCGUAGAGAUGUGGAGGAAUACCGAUGGCGAAGGCAGCCCCCUGGGCCAAUACUGACGCUCAUGCACGAAAGCGUGGGGAGCAAACAGGAUUAGAUACCCUGGUAGUCCACGCCCUAAACGAUGUCAACUAGUUGUUGGGGAUUCAUUCCUUAGUAACGUAGCUAACGCGUGAAGUUGACCGCCUGGGGAGUACGGUCGCAAGAUUAAAACUCAAAGGAAUUGACGGGGUCAUAGCUGUUUCU
rnacentral:rRNA from 1 species